GACGAACCGUCCAAACGUUAUUCGGAAUCACUGGGCUUAAAGGGCGCGUAGGCGGGCUGACAAGUCCGGGGUGAAAUCCUCCAGCUUAACUGGAGAACGGCCUCGGAUACUGUUGGUCUCGAGGAAGAUAGGGGCAUGCGGAACUGGUGGUGGAGCGGUGAAAUGCGUUGAUAUCACUAGGAACUCCGGUGGCGAAGGCGGCAUGCUGGAUCUUUUCUGACGCUGAGGCGCGAAAGCAAGGGGAGCAAACAGG
rnacentral:rRNA from 1 species